rnacentral:tmRNA from 1 species
GGGGGCGAACUGGGUUCGACGGGAAGGAAAGUGGCAUCGGUGGCGGGUCGGGUGCACCGAUGUCGCCGCCUUCUCGGACGCGGGUUCAAUUCCCGCCGCCUCCACCA